rnacentral:rRNA from 1 species
AUGGCGUGCCUCGCCAUCUCCCUGCAGCCGGUGAACGNNNNNNNNNNNNNNNNNNNNNNNNNNNNNNNNNNNCCGGUCUCGCGCCCCCUCGCCGCCGUCUCCGCCUUCCGCCUCGCGCGCCUCAGCCUCGCCCGCGGCAAGCAGCACCCCUCCCCCUCCUCCUCCUCCGCCUCCCUCGACGCCAUCGGCGACGACCCGCUGGCCACCGGGUCGGGGCAGCUGGUGGUGGGCGUCGAGUCGCAGUACCGCGUGGUGUACCGCCUCGUCAACUCCAUCUACGUGCUCGGCGUCACCACCGCCUCCGACCACGCCGCCCCCGCCGUCCACGCCUUCGCCGUCGCCGACGCCGUCAACCAGGCCGUCUCCGUCCUCGUCGCCGCCUGCCGCGGCGUCGACGCCACCCCCGAGAAGGUCCACCGCAAGUACCCCGAGGUCUACCUCGCGCUCGACCUCGUCCUCCACGGCGUGGGGUCCGUGCGUCUCUCCCAGAUCCUCGCCACCAUCCAUGGCGACAACCUCGCCCGCAUGGUCAACUCCUCCCCCGACGCCGAGGCCCGCGCCCGCGGCGCCGACUCCUGGCCCGUCGUCGAGCACCUCGCGCAGGACCGCCACGCCGCCCGCGACGGCUUCGCCACCGCCUCCUUCGAGCUCCCCCAGGAGACCCUAUCUGCUGGCGAUGAGUUCUCUGCUUCCAGCCUCGCGCCUGCGACCGCUGCGGCUACUGGGGAUGAGCCGCGCCUGAGGAGGCGCCCCGGUUGA